rnacentral:rRNA from 1 species
GUAUGAAAGGCCACACGAGGGGUUUACUGUCUCUUACUUCCAAUCCGUGAAAUUGACCUUCCCGUGAAGAGGGGGGAAUAUGACAAUAAGACGAGAAGACCCUAUGGAGCUUUAAUUAACCGACCCAAAGAGAUCUUGAUAAUCAACCGACAGGGAUAACAUACCUCUACCAUGGGCCGACAAUUUAGGUUGGGGUGACCUCGGAGAAUAAAACAACCUCCGAGUGAUUUAAAUCUAGACUAACUAGUCGAAAGUACUACAUCACUUAUUGAUCCAAAAACUUGAUCAACGGAACAAGUUACCCUAGGGAUAACAGCGCAAUCCUAUUUUAGAGUCCAUAUCGACAAUAGGGUUUACGACCUCCAUGUUGGA